rnacentral:rRNA from 1 species
AGCGAACGCUGGCGGCAGGCCUAACACAUGCAAGUCGAACGGAUCCUUCGGGAUUAGUGGCGGACGGGUGAGUAACACGUGGGAACGUGCCCUUUGGUUCGGAACAACCCAGGGAAACUUGAGCUAAUAACGGAUGUGCCCUUCGGGGGAAAGAUUUAUCGCCAUUGGAGCGGCCCGCGUCUGAUUAGCUAGUUGGUGAGGUAAAGGCUCACCAAGGCGACGAUCAGUAGCUGGUCUGAGAGGAUGAUCAGCCACUUUGGGACUGAGACACGGCCCAAACUCCUACGGGAGGCAGCAGUGGGGAAUCUUGCGCAAUGGGCGAAAGCCUGACGCAGCCAUGCCGCGUGAAUGAUGAAGGUCUUAGGAUUGUAAAAUUCUUUCACCGGGGACGAUAAUGACGGUACCCGGAGAAGAAGCCCCGGCUAACUUCGUGCCAGCAGCCGCCGUAA